rnacentral:rRNA from 1 species
UGAAUACGAGAUGCUACGGCGUCGAAGCAGUGUAUGUCAGACUUCCAAGAAAAGCUCGCAAUGUCAUAAAUAAAGAAUGCCUGUACCAUAACCGACACAGGUGGGUAGGUAGAGUAUACUAAGGGGCGCGAGAUAACUCUCUCUAAGGAACUCGGCAAAAUAACUUCGUAACUUCGGGAGAAGGAGUGCCUUCUUUAAGAAGGUUGCAAUAACAAGAUCCAAGCAACUGUUUAUCAAAAACACAGGUCUCCGCUAAGUCGUAAGACGAUGUAUGGGGGCUGACGCCUGCCCAGUGCCAGAAGGUUAAAGAAGCUGGUUAGCAAUAGCGAAGCUGGUGACUGAAGCCCUGGUGAACGGCGGCCGUAACAAUAACGGUCCUAAGGUAGCGAAAUUCCUUGUCGGGUAAGUUCCGACCCGCACGAAAGGCGUAAUGAUUUGGAUACUGUCUCGGAGAGGGACUCGGUGAAAUAGACUUGUCUGUGAAGAUGCGGACUACCUGCACCAGGACAGAAAGACCCUAUGAAGCUUUACUGUAACCUGAAAUUGAAAUUGGACUUUAUUUGCGCAGUAUAGGUGGGAGGCGUUGAAAGUAAUCUUGCGGGAUUAGUGGAGCCAUCAGUGAGAUACCACUCCUAUAAUGUUAGAUUUCUAACUUUGGAUCAUGAUCUGGUCAAAGAACAGUUUCAGGCGGGCAGUUUGACUGGGGCGGUCGCCUCCCAAAUGGUAACGGAGGCGUACAAAGGUUUCCUCUGAACGGGUAGAAAUCGUAUCUAGAGUGUAAAGGCAUAAGGAAGCUUGACUGUGAGACCUACAAGUCGAGCAGGGACGAAAGUCGGUCUUAGUGAUCUGACGGUGCUGAGUGGAAAGGCCGUCACUCAACGGAUAAAAGUUACUCUAGGAUAACAGGCUGAUCUCCCCCAAGAGUUCACAUCGACGGGGAGGUUUGGCACCUCGAUGUCGGCUCAUCGCAUCCUGGGGCGGUAGUACGUCCCAAGGGUUGGGCUGUUCGCCCAUGAAAGCGGUACGCGAGCUGGGUUCAGAACGUCGUGAGACAGUUCGGUCCAUAUCCGGUGUAGGCGUUAGAAUAUUGAGAGGAGCCUUCUCUAGUACGAGAGGACCGAGAAGGACGUACCUCUGGUGUACCAGUUAUCGUGCCAACGGUAAACGCUGGGUAGCUAUGUAUGGAGAGGAUAACCGCUGAAAGCAUCUAAGUGGGAAGCCCACCUCAAGAUGAGUAUUCUCAUC